AUUUAAGGGCUGACUGCCACCCUAGGAGGAUCUCUGGUUGGUGAUACUUCCUUUGUAGAAUUUAUUCUGUGAGCCUGGCUUUUUAGAGACAGGAAGUAAAAGAUUUCCUCGUGGCUUUUAGUAACAGCAAAGAGGAAUCCUUUCCACUGCGGCUCAGAACAAGCUGGUCAGACAGCACAAAGUGAUACAAUUCUCAGGAAGGUGCUCACCACACACAGUUGCUAAGUUUCUAGUUUUCCACCUACUGAAGAAGUGCAAGUAACAUCUGAUCAACUGUAGCUUAAGAUCCAGGGACUCUGCUCACAAGGAGAUUCUUGAGGAUGAUAACAGAUGGGGGCUUCCAUCUGGACCAGAAUAGCACUGAAGGUUGGAAGACUUGUUGGUCUCAGCGUGGUACAUCCCACACUGCAAAGCAUUCACCAAGAUGCUCAGCAGACUGAACUUUAUGUGCAAGGGGCCCCAUCCACUGAAAUAGCUUCUUGAUUAGUGCUUUUGACUCAGCUUAUCUGCCAGGAAUCCCCAGGAAGGAAGGAAGGAAGGAAGGAAAGAAGAAUAUCCUCUUGCUCCUCUGUACCUCCUCAUAUUACAACUCAACACUCUGCUUUGAUGCUUUGCUCUAAGAAAUCCUUGGUCCACAGCUAGAAGAUAUCAGCAGAGUUCUGUUCCUCAGCACUGGAAUGUGAAAACUGCGAUAAAAAGCCAUUGUCUGUCUUCACUUUUGUGUAGGCUGAGCAUUUACUGCAAAAGACUGCAGUGGCUUUUCCAAGUCUUGCUUCUUCCAGAAUGUCUAUCUGCACCUACCCCUACACACAUUAGCAGUUCCACUGCCCGGGUCCUCCCGAGCUGCUGAGCUGCAGGCACAGAGGUCGGUCUUCAGCCAGCACAACACUCAGGCACCGAUGUUCCCAAUAGCACUGUUCUGCUGGGAGGAAAACUAACUGAGAGUGGUGGAAAAACAACAUGCCCAGAAAAGGAACCUGCCCUUUCUCUUAUUCUGAAAACAAGAAAGCUGUGGAUUUGUUUCAUCAGCAUAACCCAAAAACAGCUGACAUCAUGUCUUUGAAUACCAAGGCCAAGGGGCAGAGGAUUCUAUGCAAAGGAGGAACAGCUCAGGGAACAUAUUAGCAAGGGACACUACAACUUGUAUUUUCUUACAAUCUAUUCCUGCUAUUUCUGCUAUUUCCCAAACAAAUUGUCUUUCUAGCAUUUAAAAAGCUAAAGACUGUAAUAUGAAAGGUUGCAAAGCAAUAAAGAGAAAAGCUACAGAAAACCCCCUUUGAUAAUCCUGCACACGACAUUCUAGCUAACUCUGAUUAGGUGAUGAAUCCAGUCUGAUAUGCUCAAACUUACAGACUUCUCUUAACUCCUGGGAGAUACAUCCAUUUCAGCUUGCUUUAACAAUCCAUCUAAAACAUGAGCAAGACAUUCAGCUCCAGCCUGGAGUGCAAAAGACAAAUUUCCUUGGAAGCCAAGUCUCCUCUCCAAAUGCAGCCCUGAGAACUACUUUUAAAUAUAUCUCCAAAAAGGCUUAAACAAUUAGAUAUUUCUCCCUCCCAUACAAAAACUGCUUUGCUUUGAUACAAAUGGAGACUCACUUCCUCAAAUUUGCCAUCUUUACACUCUUAAUGAUACUGUGUCCACUUUCACAAGAUCCUGAUUCACAGGCCUGGGUCAAUAGUCUCUUAAAUCCAUAGUUAACGUAUCUCAGGUUUAUAACCCUUCUAUCAGUUUCCUAGUGCAGUGUAGGGAAGCUUAGGUUAUAAACCAAUAUACACAACAUACCAUGUUAUUUUCUGAUGGGUAACAUUUAUUCUGCCAACUGGCAGAAGUUUUAGUCUUUUUUUUUUUUUUUUUUUUUUGGACUACCAACAUUUGACCAAUUGCAUCACAUAUUACUUAUUGCUCUGAAAGCGUAUUAAUGUUUCAGAGACACACUGGAGUAUAUUUGCCUACAUAGCAGUGAUAGACCAUUUAAAGAUCUUUUUACUUUUUCUUUUUUUAAAUCUCAUUGCUCAAGCUCCUCCUACCUUGAUUUUAUCACUUGUUUGUUUUUUCAUUUUUGUUUCAUAGAUAUAAAUGUACUUGUCAUUGGUCAACCUUUACUUUGGGAUGCACACAAUGGAAAAAGUAAGAUUUUUUUCCAAAAGGACUGAUCCAAUAAGAAGAAAGCAUCUUAUGCCAGGAAAGACAGUUCUAGUUUGCUUAAAAGCUCCCUUCAGCAUAAGCAAACGAAGAAACACAAAUUGGGCUCCAUUAUAUCUCCAGGCCUUUUGUGCCUAAUGCCUGCCUCACUUAUAUCUGAGUAUUCAUUUUCACUGUGCUGCUGGUCAGGGUGUCUGCUGCUCCUAUCAGUCAUGAAGACUUGCAUGCCUGCACAGCAUUACUCUGAGAAUGAACAAGGCAUUUGAGUACACAAUAUUAGAACAUGGAUUUUCAGUCCUCUACAAAGGCAUCUGUAGUAAUCAUGCACAGAAUUAAGUGAGGCAUAAAUUAAGAUGACUAUUGGAUAUCAAUGCCACUUUUUAAAGUGUAUCUGUCCCCAAAAGGGGAAAAUAUACCUAUUUGAUCUCUUAUGAUAUUUUCAUUGUACUUUGCUGAGCAGCGCAGGUGGAACUCAUGCAUGCGAUUAAAAUAAGCUUUACUGACAAAGUAUUUAAUAUAAAAGCAGUGUUUUUAAAAUAUAUAGCCUUCUACCAUAACAAGCAGAGUGCAAGAGCUUUUCUUAAUAUUUGAUUUGGAGAUUUUGAAUUCAUGAAUGUAUGAAAAGAGGACACAAGCCCCUUGCAGACUAAUCGGAGCUAGAGGUCAUGCCAUAAGUUAUUGAAAAGAGUUUUGUAGAGGUGUAAUAUGGUUUUGAAUUUGACCUAUGGCUUCUGAGUUGUUACCCAUGACCCCAAAUAAUCCAACUUCAGCUUCUUGAAGGCUAUUAGGAGUUGAAGGUCAUGCCAUAUGUUUCCACAUUUACAAGGUAAAGUGUUAGGCCAAGUAACAGACCACUCAGAAAAUCUGCAGAAAAUAAC
ensembl:lncRNA